rnacentral:misc_RNA from 1 species
GGGUUUUUACUUUCGAACUUAGGCUUAGGGCAGUUUACUGUGCAAACAACGCAGAAAUUUAAAGCGUAUUAAUACGAAAACGACACUAAAUUAAGCAGACACGGACUUUGUUGAUGAUGGCUACCGAGCGGUAUGACAUUGUCAUUUUUGGUGCCAGUGGGUUCACCGGUCAGUUUGUGGUCGAAGAAGUAGCCCGGGUGGCCCCGACAGAGAGACUGACAUGGGCGGUGUCAGGUCGGUCCAUGGAGAAAAUCCAAAAGGUCCUCAGCAAAGCUUCAAAAAGGACAGGCAAUGAUUUGGAGUCGACUCCCAUUAUAAUAGCUGACACAUCCAGUGAUGAGUCACUACUGCAGAUGGCAAAGCAAGCCAAACUUGUUCUGAAUUGUGUGGGCCCUUAUCGUUUCUAUGGCGAGCAGGUGGUGAGAGCCUGUGUAGAGGGGGGAGCCCACCAUCUGGAUAUCAGCGGGGAACCAGCCUAUAUUGAGAAAAUGCAGUUGAAAUACAAUGGAGAAGCGGAGAAGAGUGGAGUGUUUGUGAUCAGUGCUUGUGGCUUUGACAGCAUCCCUGCAGAGUCGGGAAUUCUCCACGCCAAGCAAAAAUUCCAAGGUGAGAUCAACACCGUUGAAAGUUACCUUGAACUGCAUGCUGGUCCCCACGGAAUGGCAGUCAACAACGGCACGCUGGAAUCUGCCAUAUAUGGAUUCCUGAAUGAGGGGGAACUGAAGUCCAUCAGGAAGUCCCUGUUCCCCGAGCCACUCCCUCCCCCCAAGUACAAAAUUGCCAAAAGGGGGAUGCUGUUUAAGAAUGAGGUCAACAAGAAGUGGACCGCUCCAUUCCUGGGCAGUGACAAGUCCGUCGUCUACCGGUCCCAGCGGUACAAUUUCAGUCAGAGGAAGGAGAAAGCGAUUCAGUACCAACCCUAUGUGUGCUAUGACAGCAUAUUGACCGUCUUCGGCCUGCUUUGGUUUGGCCUGCUGUUUGGGAUCAUGACUAAAUUCAGCUUCACAAGGAAACUUCUCCUUCGAUAUUCUUCUUUUUUUACUGCUGGAUUGUUCAAACCUGAGGGCCCUUCCUUGAAACAGGUUAUAUAUUCAAUUGCUUCUACAUGAAUUAAACAAACACAGAAAGAUCUAACAUAUUUCUGUUGUCUGUAAAUUUACAGUUUUAAUUCCUUUACAGCUUAAAUCAUGUCCAUUUGUGAGAUUUUCAUUAUGAAAACAUAUUUCCAAUAAAUUUACAUGUAAAUUUCCAAUGGAUACUGGAUUAUGUACAUGAUAUUUUAAUGUAGAUUGAAACCUGUAGCUUCUCCAUGACAUUUGUGUCCAAAGGCUGGAAAUCCCUCCCUGAAGGGGAACCCCAAUCCCCUCCAGACACAGUUAAAAUCACCAAGGUCACUGGUCCAGAGGUGGGAUAUGUGACCACUCCAAUCUGCAUGGUCCAGGCAGCUGUUGUUGUUUUGAAGGAGAAGGAAAAACUCCCCGGAAAGGGCGGUGUACUGGCUCCCGGAUCGGCUUUCCAGGACACAACUCUACUGCAGCGUCUUUCCGAACACAACAUCAAGUUCCAGGAAGUCGACAAAUAAACAGCUUAAAGUAUCCAGGACUUGCUGCUUAUGCAUUUAAAGCAAUAUUACUGCUGCUCUGAUCAAUAUACAAGGGGCUUGUGUUCCAUAUUUAUAGUCAAAUCAAAAAGAACAUCCGUCAUCAGUGUUUGUUUCUCUCUGUUAUAACAAGUGUUAGUGUUGAUACUGUUCUAAACAGGCAAACUUUACUUUUAUAAGGAAGCUAGUAGCAAAGAUUUAAUGUUUGAGUGAUGACAGACUACUUGAGAAGAAGGAGAAUGAGUGUAAUUUGUAAUGGACCAGGAUCAAAUAAUGACUCGUGAUAUAUUAUUAAAGGAGUGCUUUAUCAACGAUCUAUACAGUGUGGUGCUUUUUUCUGUGAUAAAAUUAUUUUUGACACUU